rnacentral:rRNA from 1 species
UUGAUUCUGGCUCAGAUUGAACGCUGGCGGCAGGCUUAACACAUGCAAGUCGAGCGGAAACGAAGGUAGCUUGCUACCAGGCGUCGAGCGGCGGACGGGUGAGUAAUGCUUAGGAAUCUACCGAGUAGUGGGGGAUAGCCAUUGGAAACGAUGAUUAAUACCGCAUAUAUCCUACGGGGGAAAGCAGGGGACCUUCGGGCCUUGCGCUAUUCGAUGAGCCUGAGUGAGAUUAGCUAGUUGGUGGGGUAAAGGCCUACCAAGGCGACGAUCUCUAGCUGGUCUGAGAGGAUGAUCAGCCACACUGGGACUGAGACACGGCCCAGACUCCUACGGGAGGCAGCAGUGGGGAAUAUUGCACAAUGGACGAAAGUCUGAUGCAGCCAUGCCGCGUGUGUGAAGAAGGCCUUCGGGUUGUAAAGCACUUUCAGCGAGGAGGAAAGGUCAGUAAGUAAUAUUUGCUGGCUGUGACGUUACUCGCAGAAGAAGCACCGGCUAAUUUAGUGCCAGCAGCCGCGGUAAUACUAAAGGUGCAAGCGUUAAUCGGAAUUACUGGGCGUAAAGCGCGCGUAGGUGGUUUGUUAAGUUGGAUGUGAAAGCCCAGGGCUCAACCUUGGAACUGCAUUCAAAACUGACUCACUAGAGUACGAGAGAGGUUAGUGGAAUUUCCUGUGUAGCGGUGAAAUGCGUAGAGAUGGGAAGGAACACCAGUGGCGAAGCGACUGACUGGCUCGAUACUG